CCUACGGUGCGCUGCAGUGAGGAAUAUUGGUCAAUGGACGCAAGUCUGAACCAGCCAUGCCGCGUGCAGGAAGACGGCUCUAUGAGUUGUAAACUGCUUUUGUACGGGGGUAAACGCAGAUACGCGUAUCUGUCUGAAAGUAUCGUACGAAUAAGGAUCGGCUAACUCCGUUCCAGCAGCCGCGGUAAUACGGAGGAUUCAAGCGUUAUCCGGAUUUAUUGGGUUUAAAGGGUGCGUAGGCGGUCGGAUAAGUUAGAGGUGAAAUCCCGAGGCUCAACUUCGGAAUUGCCUCUGAUACUGUUCGGCUAGAGAGUAGUUGCGGUAGGCGGAAUGUAGGGUGUAGCGGUGAAAUGCUUAGAGAUCAUACAGAACACCGAUGGCGAAGGCAGCUUACCAAGCUACUUCUGACGUUGAGGCACGAAAGCGUGGGGAGCAAACAGGAUUAGAUACCCCUGUAGUC
rnacentral:rRNA from 1 species